UUCCUGGGCCAUUAGCUCAGGUGGUUAGAGCGCACCCCUGAUAAGGGUGAGGUCCCUGGUUCAAGUCCAGGAUGGCCCAUAUCUCUAUGUUGGGGGUAUAGCUCAGUUGGUAGAGCGCCUGCUUUGCAAGCAGGAUGUCAGCGGUUCGAGUCCGCUUACCUCCACUGAAUACCACCUCUUACAUAUAGUUGAAGUGGGAAAUUGUUUUGAGUCGUGUCCUAAUUUGCUCUGAGCGAAUCUAGCUUCCUAUUUUAUCCAAGAAAUAAGAUGCUGGACUCAUUGAAUUUUUUUUCAUUGUUUUCAGAGAACCUUGACAACUGCAUAGAUUAUUUUUAAAGACAAUAAGCAUCUUUAAUGAUGCAGAUUUAUUAUUUGUGCGAAUGCAUUAAAUAACAAUUCUAUUAAGCUGAUGCUUCAAUUAUUGAAGUUAUUGGUCAAGCUACAAAGGGCUCACGGAGGAUACCUAGGCACACAGAGGCGAUGAAG
rnacentral:tRNA from 1 species